CCUGACCUGAAUGGCCACCACUGUGAAGGUGAUGUGAAGACAAAGAGUGGUGAAACUGAGUGUGAGAUAUCCAAAGAGGUUAAGCCCAGCUAUCUAUUCUGUAUCCGUUGGACGGAGAACUGAUAAGGGCAUGUGUCUGACACUUUCCGCCAAUGAUAGAGAGAGAGCUGGACACAAUAUGGUACCACAACGGAAAACUCUCUCCUGUCCAGCAGCAGCUUUACUACAUGACCUGUAUCUCUAACCGGGUCAUCUGGGAAACGGAAGUUAUGUCUACUCCAGUUUCAACGUGCUUCAACCUAUUCAUAACACUUGUUUGCUUAUUUUUCUCAGAAAACUCAUAAUAAUUUUUUCAGAAAAAAAAUCCUGGAAGCAAUUCUCUGAAUACAUGUAUUUUGUGUAUCCCUUAUUUUCUCUUGUUUGAAAAAACGUGGUGACUCAUACUAGCAUUGACAUCAACUUCAUUCUAUAUAGAGGUAAGUCUUCUGUCACUAUGCUUUACAAAGUCAAUAACAAUCAAUAACAAGUCCUCCAGCCACAUGAAAGUUGAAGUUUAGCUAGGAUAAACAUAAAACAGAUGCACAAUCUGGUAUCUGAAUAAGCAAAUUAGCCACCUUUACUAAUUUUAACCUUUUAUGUGUCUGGAGGACUUGGAUUAUUGUCUUAUAUGAUCACAUAAUCAUUGCUGAUACAUAAUUAUAAACAUGAUAAACGUGAGUAAAGGUGGCUAAUUUGCUCAUUCAGAAACCAGAUUGUGCAUCUGUUUUAUAUUGUAAUGUAAUCCAGAAGGCUGGAUUCAGCAAGACCUAGAGUUGGAGACAACAUGGUCCUCUAAUUCAAAGUUCACUGCAUGAAUAGAUUGCCUGCCACACACAGGGGAGACUGAACUGGAGAUGGGUCCUGUGAGAGAGAGAGCAUUCCUGAGACUGUGGUGGCAGGCAUUAUUUCAGAGCAGCAGCGCAGACAAUCAGGUUUGGCAUACAUAAAGGCCCCAGGGCACACAUGAAAGGGUUUUCUCGAAAACCCAAAGCACCCUUCAAAUCAUGG
rnacentral:lncRNA from 1 species